UACAUGAUAAUUAGUACGUUAUCUAAAUUGUAUUACAAAAACAAACAUGUGAAAUCCCGUGAAAUUUAAAAAUCCCAACUACUUUUUUAACCUACCACGCGUACACACAAAGAAAAGAUCUAUUUUUAUGACAGUUGACACACACAUAAUACACAUAAACAGUCUAUAUACGUCCCACUGCUGGGCACAGGCCUCCCCUCAAUCAAAUAAUUUAAAUAAUUAUUUACUAUGAAAAUAAUAAAACUGGGAAAAAAUAACUCGAGCUGACUGACAAGCAUCCGAAAUUUUGCUUACUCCUUCAAACAAUUUUACAUACUUUACGAUGGAUGGGGUGGGAUGGAAUGGAAUGGGUAAUUUUGUAGACAUUAAUUAUUAGGUCCCACUGUUUAAGACUAGCAAGCUAAGCAGGCCUUGAACGCGUGACCUUUUGAUAGCAUGUAGGUACAAAACGUCAACAGAAUCACUCUGUCAGAUAAGUAUAUAAAACUCCACAACCGCUGCAACAAAUUAUAAUUGUUUUAGUUCCAUCAAACAGACAACAUGCUUCGACACAUUUUUGUUCUCGCCUCCAUUCUAAUCGCGGCCGACUUGUGUCUGCCUGCCCCGCAAGAGCCCAAAUCCGAAGACGUAAAGGUAGACUGCGGACCUAUCCUCCUGAUCUAUUUGCCUGUAUGUGGCUCAGAUGGCAAGACGUAUGCCAACGAAGGAGUUCUGAGGUGCCAUAACUUACAGGAAGAAGCCAAUAACCGACAAGUCGUUACCGUGGUGAAAAACGGCAAAUGCGAGAAUUCUGAACCGACUCAGUAAAUGUUAACCAUUACAAAUCCUGCAGGAGACAUAUCAUGCAAGUUGCAAUAUUGCUUGUUAGAUGAAUUACUUCGAUGUAGCCUUUUUAACUCUGAUGUAGAUAUUCUUCAGUAGACCUGUUCCCACCCCUUUAGGUACAGUGCCAUCUGGGGUCUGUGCAAUAAACAAAAAUUGUAAUUAAUUUUAAAUAAAAAAAAUGUUUUUAAAAAAAAUAAUUUUAAAAAUGUUGUUCCGUUUUGCUUCUUUUGUAAUUGUUUUGUGAAAAUUUUAAAUGAUGUUAUUGUAUUGUUUAUGUGUGUGGCGUCCUUUUAAAAUAAACUAUUUAUAUUCUAUUCUAUUCAAAAGUACAAUUAUAUUACAAGAUAUUUCAGUUCAGUUUUGAAAUUAGAUAAAUUAUACUUAUUUUCAAAAAUGUAAUAACAUUUUUUAUUUUAUUAAGUAAGUGUACUUCAAGCAACCACACAUACUUGUAACAUCACCAUAAUUUUAAAAAGGCCAUAAUAAGUACAACAACAUACUGGUCUGCAUGGAGCUCGAAAAAUGGAAUAGAAAAAACUUCAUAAUUCCUAUAACUACUAACACAUUGUAACUAACAUAAUUAUACGGAUGAAUUGUAACUAACAUUAAUAAUGUGUUUAUAGCUACAUUAAAUAAAUGUACAUUAUUAGGUUUACCUACAAUGUAGUGUGUUGUCAUAUUUAUUAACACCAAAUCAUGUUCUCGCAAUUGAUAUGGUUGACACGGAUAAACUAUGAGAUAAACCCAUUACACAUUCUAUUAA